rnacentral:rRNA from 1 species
AAAGGAGUGCUAAUACCGGAUGUGAUGCAGGGCUCUUCGGAGUGCUGCAGGAAAGAUCCGCGAAGGGUCACUGAAGGACGAGCCUGCGGCCCAUCAGCUAGUUGGCGAGGUAAUGGCUCACCAAGGCGAAGACGGGUAGCUGGUCUGAGAGGAUGAUCAGUCACACUGGAACUGAGACACGGUCCAGACUCCUACGGGAGGCAGCAGUGGGGAAUAUUGCGCAAUGGGCGAAAGCCUGACGCAGCCACGCCGCGUGAGCGAUGAAGGCCGUUCGGGUCGUAAAGCUCUGUGGGGGGAGAAGAAAAAAGCCGGUGAAGAGCCGGCCCUGACGGUAUCCCCUUAGCAAGCACCGGCUAACUCCGUG